CUCUGUGUGGGGAACAUGAGAGCCAGACCAAAGCUCAGAGGAUCCAUCAGAGGCUCAACCCUGAAUCUGAACUCAGCUGUGUGUCCUUAAAAAGUCACUGGUCAGCAGAUCGUCCCAUUAAUUUUAAAGUCCAGCAGGCGUCUGCUGCAGAGAGGAUCCAUGAAAGAUUACACUCACCUGAACCUGAUCUCAGUGGUAUGUCCUUUAAGCGUCAUCGGUCUAUGGAUCCACCAUUAAACUUUAAAAAAUGGGGGAUUUCAAAGACAAAGUGAGUGAACAUCGGUAUAAUUUAUAAUUAGAUUAGGCACUUCCAAACAUCUAGCAGAUGACUUUGGUGUGUUUGUCACUUCCCGUUCCCCCCCCUGUCCUCAAUUUCUGAGUCAUUUGAGGAGUUUCAGUAUCUCCAGUAUUUGUUCAACACAGCAGAAAAGGCAGAUUGCACGUACUAUAAUUGAGGAACCAAACAAAAUAAGUGAGGAAAUUAACAUGUUCUAUAGUAAUCUGUAUAAAUCAAGAACUGAAAAAGAAAAUGCAGAUAUCUUUUUGAUAUGAUUAAAGACCAGGUAAGAAAAUUGGAAGAGGAUGAUAAAACAUGGUUAGAAGAAGAUUUGAAUAUAUCCGAAUUAGAUACAGCUCUAAAACAAAUGAAAGAUGGAAAAUCGCCUGGAAUUGAUGGUUUAACGAUUGAAUUUUAUAAAACCUUUUGGCAAGACAUUAAAGAUUUGUUAUUUAAUGGCUUUUUGGAUUGUUUAAAAAAUGAAGAACUAUCCCCAACAAUGAAAACAGGAUUAAUAACCUUAUUACCCAAACCAAACAAAGAUUUACAAAUGCUAGACAAUUGGAGACCCAUAACACUUUUAUGUAACGACUACAAAUUAUUAGCCUUAGUAUAUGCAAAUAGGCUUAAAAGCGUCUUAACCAAAUUGAUUGAUGAGUGCCAAUCAGCGUUUAUUAAAGGAAGGCAGAUUCAUAAUAACAUAAGAUUAAUAUUAGAUAUGAUUGACUAUCGAUCCUUUAUUAAUUCAGAAAGUUUAAUACUAUUUAUUGACUUUUUUAAAGCAUUUGAUUCAAUAGACCAUAAUUUUUAUUUAGAUCUUUAGAACUUUUUGGAUUUGGAAACAAAUUUUGCAAAGUGAUCAAACUGUUCUACAAGCAAAUUUAUAGUUAUGUUUCGCUCAAUCCAGGCAUAACAUCUAGGAUAGACAUAUUCUGUGGAAUUCGACAGGGUUGCCCAAUUUCUCCAAAAUUAUUUAUUCUUUGCACUCAAUUAAUGGCUUACCUCAUUGUGAACCAUUCAGACAUCGAAGGAAUAAACUUUUUUGAUAUUGAACUGAAAAUAAGUCAGUUUGCAGAUGACACAGUAAUAUUUUUAAAGGAUAAAUCAAUACUCGAGAAAGCAUUGAAUGUCAUUUCAAUUUUUUCUAAAGCUUCAGGCUUGUGUCUGAACCUAAAGAAGUGUGAACUUUUGCCACUUUAUGAUUGCUUGGAAAAUAGCAUGAGGACGAUUCCAGUGAAAAAUGAAGUUAAGUAUCUAGGCAUCUAUUUAGACAAAGACAUCAACACUAGAGAAUCAAAAAACCUAAAAGACAAAAUUGAUGGCAUGUCCAAAACACUAAAUCAUUGGUUGACGAGAGAUAUUACAAUUUUUGGACGCAAUCUAUUAUCCAAAUCAGAGGGCGUCUCAAAGAUGGUUUAUCCAGCAUACUCACUAUACAUUACCCCGAAAAGCAUUAAAAAGAUUAACUCUAUAAUCUAUCAAUUCAUUUGGCGCAAUAAAACACAUUACAUUAAAAAAUCACAACUUGUCAAAGAUUACGCUAAAGGUGGUAUAAAGUCAAUUGAUUUUCAAUCAAUGGUUGGAGUUUUUAAAAUAAACUGGAUAAAAGCCUUCCUCUUGAAACCUGACUCCAUAUGGUUCCAUAUCCCAAAAAAUAUUUUCAAAAAGGUGGGAGGGUUGGAUUUUCUCCUGAAAUGUGAUUUUGAUAUAUUGAAGUUGCCUGUGAAACUGUCAGAAUAUCAUAAGCAGGUCUUGUUUUAUUGGA